rnacentral:rRNA from 1 species
AUUGAACGCUGGAGGCAGGCCUAACACAUGCAAGUCGAACGAGUUGCGGACGGGUGAGUAAUUUCUGGGAAACUGCCUGAUGGAUGGGGCUAACUACUGGCAACGGUAGCUAAUACCGCAUACCAUCGGAUGUGCCCAGAUGGGAUUAGCUAGUAGGUGGGGUAAAGGCUCACCUAGGCGCAGAUCCCUAGCUGGACUGCGAGGCUGACCAGCCACACUGGAACUGAGACACGGUCCAGACUCCUACGGUAGGCAGCAGUAGUGAAUAUUGCACAAUGGGCUCAAGCCUGAUGCAGCCAUGCCGCGUGUAUGAAGAAGGCCUUCGGGUUGUAAAGUACUUUCAGCGGGGAGGCGUUACCCGCAGAAGAAGCACCGGAUAACUCCGUGCCAGCAGCCGCGGUAAUAC